CCGUUCAACGGAGGAGCAGGCGCGCAAUUACCCAAUCCUGACUCAGGGAGGUAGUGACAAGAAAUAACAAUAAACCGGCUUAUGCCGGUUUAAUUGGAAUGAGUACAAUUUAAACAUCUUAACGAGGAACAAUUGGAGGGCAAGUCUGGUGCCAGCAGCCGCGGUAAUUCCAGCUCCAAUAGCGUAUACUAAAGUUGUUGCAGUUAAAAAGCUCGUAGUUGGAUUUCUGUGGGGACGGAGCGGCCGGCCGCAACACGCGGUUCGAGCUAGCGCUUUCCCUACAUCCUGCCGCGAACCGUGCUACCAUUAGUUUGGUGGCGCCGGGGAUCGGCUCGAUUACUUUGAGAAAAAUAGAGUGUUCAAAGCAGGCCACACGCCUUGAAUAAGUUAGCAUGGAAUAAUAACUAAGGACUUCGGUUCUAUUUUGUUGGUGUUCGGGACUGAAGUAAUGAUUGAUAGGGACAGUUGGGGCGGUCUGUAUUCCAAAGCGAGAGGUGAAAUUCUUAGACCUUCGGAAGACAAACAGCUGCGAAAGCGUUCCGCAAGGAUGUUCCCUUUGAUCAAGAACGAAAGUUGGGGGAUCGAAGACGAUCAGAUACCGUCGUAGUCUCAACUAUAAACUAUACCAGCUAGGGAUCGGCCAACGUUAUUCUAUACCGACUUGGUCGGCACCUUAUGAGAAAUCAAAGCAUCUGGGUUCCGGGGGGAGUAUGGUCGCAAGGCUGAAACUUAAAGGAAUUGACGGAAGGGCACCACCAGCCGUGGAGCCUGUGGCUUAAUUUGACUCAACACGGGAAAACUUACCAGGUCCAGACAUAGUAAGGAUUGACAGAUUGAUAGCUCUUUCUUGAUUCUGUGGGUGGUGGUGCAUGGCCGUUCUUAGUUGGUGGAGUGAUUUGUCUGGUUAAUUCCGUUAACGAACGAGACCCCAGCCUGCUAAAUAGCGCGCGUGAGCUUUGCUCGCGGCGAGCUUCUUAGAGGGACUAUGAUGCGCGAUAGCACAUGGAAGUUUGGGGCAAUAACAGGUCUGUGAUGCCCUUAGAUGUUCUGGGCCGCGCACGGGCUACACUGGCGCCUGCAACGAGCAUAUCAGCUGGCCCGAGAGGGUCUUGGCUAAUCUUUUGAACCGGCGCCGUGCUUGGGAUUGACCUUUGCAAUUGUUGGUCAUGCAACGAGGAAUGCCUUGUAAACGCGAGUCAUCAGCUCGCAUUGAAUACGUCCCUGCCCUUUGUACACACCGCCCGUCGCUCCUACCGAUGAAUGUUCCGAUGAAAUUUUCGGAGAGUGCCUGUGAACUUGGCUCUGCCUUGCGAACGGGAAGCUCAAAGUCCACUUAAAUUCUGAAAC
rnacentral:rRNA from 1 species